rnacentral:rRNA from 1 species
GACGAACGCUGGCGGCGUGCUUAACACAUGCCAGUCGAACGGAAAGGCCCUGCUUUUGUGGGGUGCUCGAGUGGCGAACGGGUGAGUAACACGUGAGUAACCUGCCCUUGACUUUGGGAUAACUUCAGGAAACUGGGGCUAAUACCGGAUAGGAGCUCCUGCUGCAUGGUGGGGGUUGGAAAGUUUCGGCGGUUGGGGAUGGACUCGCGGCUUAUCAGCUUGUUGGUGGGGUAGUGGCUUACCAAGGCUUUGACGGGUAGCCGGCCUGAGAGGGUGACCGGCAACAUUGGGAAUGAGAUACGGCCCAGAAUCCUACGGGAGGCAGCAGUGGGGAAUAUUGCACAAUGGGCGGAAGCCUGAUGCAGCAACGCCGCGUGCGGGAUGACGGCCUUCGGGUUGUAAACCGCUUUCGCCUGUGACGAAGCGUGAGUGACGGUAAUGGGUAAAGAAGCACCGGCUAACUACGUG